UCAGGUGCUGAAUAGUUUUCUCUCCUCUCCGUCUCCACAAGAACUUUCCUUCCUAGAAAGGAAGCUUUCUGUGAGAUGACACUAGGUGCUGAAUAAAGCUUUAUUGCCUUAUCUCCUCUCCAGCUCCACAUCGACUUUCCUGUGAGAAGACACUGGAUCUACAUGGGAGAAGUUCGGGGAACAGGGAAGGAAACAGUAUCGUGAACAAUUUCGUAACAUUUGAAGUCUUAAAUAUGAAAAAAAUAUCCGUCAAUAUAUAAAAGAUCACUGAAAACAGAUAUGUACUAUGCAUACAUAUGUC